UUUAUUGAGAGUUUGAUCCUGGCUCAGGAUGAACGCUGGCGGCGUGCUUAACACAUGCAAGUCGAACGGAGCACCCCUGACGGAGUUUUCGGACAACGAAAGGGAAUGCUUAGUGGCGGACGGGUGAGUAACGCGUGAGUAACCUGCCUUGGAGUGGGGAAUAACAGCCGGAAACGGCUGCUAAUACCGCAUGAUGUAUCUGGAUCGCAUGGUUCUGGAUACCAAAGAUUUAUUGCUCUGAGAUGGACUCGCGUCUGAUUAGCUAGUUGGUGAGGUAACGGCUCACCAAGGCGACGAUCAGUAGCCGGACUGAGAGGUUGGCCGGCCACAUUGGGACUGAGACACGGCCCAGACUCCUACGGGAGGCAGCAGUGGGGAAUAUUGGGCAAUGGGCGAAAGCCUGACCCAGCAACGCCGCGUGAAGGAAGAAGGCCCUCGGGUUGUAAACUUCUUUUGUCAGGGACGAAGCAAGUGACGGUACCUGACGAAUAAGCCACGGCUAACUACGUGCCAGCAGCCGCGGUAAUACGUAGGUGGCAAGCGUUAUCCGGAUUUACUGGGUGUAAAGGGCGUGUAGGCGGGAGUGCAAGUCAGAUGUGAAAACUAUGGGCUCAACCCAUAGCCUGCAUUUGAAACUGUACUUCUUGAGUGAUGGAGAGGCAGGCGGAAUUCCCUGUGUAGCGGUGAAAUGCGUAGAUAUAGGGAGGAACACCAGUGGCGAAGGCGGCCUGCUGGACAUUAACUGACGCUGAGGCGCGAAAGCGUGGGGAGCAAACAGGAUUAGAUACCCUGGUAGUCCACGCCGUAAACGAUGGAUACUAGGUGUGGGGGGUCUGACCCCCUCCGUGCCGCAGUUAACACAAUAAGUAUCCCACCUGGGGAGUACGAUCGCAAGGUUGAAACUCAAAGGAAUUGACGGGGGCCCGCACAAGCGGUGGAGUAUGUGGUUUAAUUCGAAGCAACGCGAAGAACCUUACCAGGACUUGACAUCCUACUAACGAAGCAGAGAUGCAUAAGGUGCCCUUCGGGGAAAGUAGAGACAGGUGGUGCAUGGUUGUCGUCAGCUCGUGUCGUGAGAUGUUGGGUUAAGUCCCGCAACGAGCGCAACCCUUAUUGUUAGUUGCUACGCAAGAGCACUCUAGCGAGACUGCCGUUGACAAAACGGAGGAAGGUGGGGACGACGUCAAAUCAUCAUGCCCCUUAUGUCCUGGGCCACACACGUACUACAAUGGCGGUCAACAGAGGGAAGCAAAGCCGCGAGGUGGAGCAAAUCCCUAAAAGCCGUCCCAGUUCGGAUUGCAGGCUGAAACUCGCCUGUAUGAAGUCGGAAUCGCUAGUAAUCGCGGAUCAGCAUGCCGCGGUGAAUACGUUCCCGGGCCUUGUACACACCGCCCGUCACACCAUGAGAGUCGGGAACACCCGAAGUCCGUAGCCUAACAGCAAUGGGGGCGCGGCCGAAGGUGGGUUCGAUAAUUGGGGUGAAGUCGUAACAAGGUAGCCGUAUCGGAAGGUGCGGCUGGAUCACCUCCUUU
rnacentral:rRNA from 1 species